UACGGAGGGGGCUAGCGUUGUUCGGAAAUACUGGGCGUAAAGCGAACGUAGGCGGCUUGGCAAGUCAGGGGUGAAAUCCCAGUGCUCAACACUGGAACUGCCUUUGAAACUGCCAGGCUUGAAUCCUGGAGAGGCGAGUGGAAUUCCGAGUGUAGAGGUGAAAUGCGCAGAUAUCAGGAGGAACACCUAUUGCGAAGGCAGCUCGCUGGGACGUUACUGACGCUGAGACGCGAAAGCGUGGGGAGCGAACAGG
rnacentral:rRNA from 1 species